rnacentral:rRNA from 1 species
CGGGAAACUGGGGAUAAUACCCUAUAGACUAUGGAUGCUGGAAUGCUUCGUAGUUGAAAGGUCCGCCGCUGUAGGAUGGGUCUGCGGCCGAUUAGGUUGUUGUUGGGGUAACGGCCCAACAAGCCUGUAAUCGGUACGGGUUGUGGGAGCAAGAGCCCGGAGAUGGAUUCUGAGACACGAAUCCAGGCCCUACGGGGCGCAGCAGGCGCGAAAACUUUACAAUGCGGGAAACCGGGAUAAGGGAACUCUGAGGGCCCGUAAGAUCGGGCUGGUCAUCAGUUGAAAUAACUGGGGAAGAAAGGGCCGGGGAAGGACGGGGACAGCCGCCGCGGUAAUA